UUUGUGGUGGCCUACUGGUUAGCGCUUAGGACUUGUAACCGGAAGGUUGCCGGUUCGAACCCCGACCAGAAGG
rnacentral:tRNA from 1 species